rnacentral:rRNA from 1 species
CAGUCGCCGCGGUAAUACGUACGUCCCGAGCGUUGUCCGGAUUUAUUGGGCGUAAAGCGAGCGCAGGCGGUUUCUUAAGUCUGAUGUGAAAGCCCCCGGCUCAACCGGGGAGGGUCACUGGAAACUGGGAAACUUGAGUGCAGAAGAGGAGAGUGGAAUUCCACGUGUAGCGGUGAAAUGCGUAGAGAUGUGGAGGAACACCAGUGGCGAAGGCGACUCUCUGGUCUGUAACUGACGCUGAGGAGCGAAAGCGUGGGGAGCGAACAGGAUUAGAUACCCCCGUAGUCCCUGUCUCUUAUAC